rnacentral:tRNA from 1 species
GGAGGGAUGGCAGAGCGGCCGAAUGCGGAGCUCUUGAAAAGCUCUGGGCGUCAGCCCCGCGGGUUCGAAUCCCGCUCCCUCCG